rnacentral:rRNA from 1 species
AAACUUUCAACAACGGAUCUCUUGGCUCCUGCAUCGAUGAAGAACGCAGCGAAAUGCGAUAAGCAAUGUGAAUUGCAGAAUUCAGUGAAUCAUCGAGUCUUUGAACGCACAUUGCGCCCUAUGGUUAUUCCGUAGGGCAUGCCCGUCUCAGCGUCAGAAGAAAACCCUCAGGCAAGGCUUUGAUGCCAUGCCUGGAUUGUGUCAGAGU